UAGUAAUCAAGAAUAGCAGAGAUAACAUCAAUUUUCUUUAACAUCUACAGAAUACAUCUAGUUACAACAGUUUAUAAAUCAAUAAUAAUCCAAACAGAAGGCUGAGUCUUAUAAAAACAAAGUCUUGGGCUGUAGAUGAACUGCCGAUGAAACCAUCUCAAACCAUCUUGAAUCACCGAUUCCUGGAACAGAAAAGUUUGAGAUUUUAGUUUGUGAUGUUAAAACUGAAAUAGAAAUUAGAUUGGAAGUUUGCUGGAAUGAGAUUUUGAAUUGGGAAAUAGAGAAGAGGGAAGGAAGAAGGAGAAGGGGGGAAAUAGCAGUAGCAGCAGCAGCCGCGAGCCACCGCAGCGGAGGCACGGCUGGCGGCGGUGGUCGCCGGCGCCACGGCGGCCGUGGUGGCUACUGACAGCAGAGAGAGAAAUAGAGAGGGAGAUUAAACCAGGGAGAUAGAGAGUGAAAUAGAAAGAGACGGAUAGAACGAGUUGGAGGGAGAGAGGGGAGUGCAGGACGGCGGAGACCACCGACGCUGCAUGCACUGUCGCGGCUCGCAGCGGCCGCCGCGGCCCGACCAGAAAAGAGAGAGAGAUCGAGAUAGAGGAGCAGAGAAAGGAAGAAAGAAAAGGAGAAAGAGAGAUGGGGAGGCUUACCUGAAUCAGAGGGGGUGGCGGCGCGACGAGCACGGCGGCGGCAGUGGCGGAGUUCACCGGAGGAACAAACUUCAGGAAAUUUUGAAACCCUAGAUCUAUUCUAAAUUCAGGAGAAAGAGGAGAAGAAAUGGAAGGAAAGAAAUGGGAAAGAGAAGAGGCCGACCUCGCCGCGCCGGAGGCCGCAAAGGCCGGCGACGCUCGCCGGGAAAGAGAGGGACAGAGAGGAGCGGUAGAGAGCAGAGAGAGAGAGAAAAGAGUUCUGUUCAGAAUAAAAGAGAAUUGAAUGAGUUAAGGAAGAAUAAUUAAAAUGUUUUCUAAAAUUCUAAAUUGCUUAUUAAAUCAGAAAAUAGUUAAUUUAUUUAAUUGGGCUCAGGUUAAUUUUGAGGAGCCUAUUAAUUCUCUAAUGGGCUAAGUUAAGUGACUAUCU
rnacentral:lncRNA from 1 species